GCUGCGGUGGCGCGCUGGGGGCCCGCGUCCAGCGCGCCCCCGGUCGGAGCUGCCGCCGUGGCCGCGGCUGCCGGAGCCAUGUACCGCAGCGGCGCCCGCUCCUCCGUCUCUUCGCACCGGCCUAAAGAGAGCGGCGGGGGCGGCCCGCGCACCGGCCGCAGCUCCGGCUCCUCUUCAGGCCCGUCUCGCCGCACAUCGCCGCCGUCCUCCGGCUCCUCCUCGUCGCGGACACCGGCUCGCCGACCCCGCUCGCCCUCAGGGCACCGCGGCCGCCGGGCCUCGCCGUCCCCUCCGCGGGGUCGCCGCGGCUCCCCGUCUCCGCCCCGCGGCCGCCGGGCCUCGCCGUCCCCGCCGCGGGGUCGUCGCCUCUCCCCGUCCCCGCCGCGGGCCCGUCGCGGCUCCCCGUCUCCGCCGCCGCCGCGGGGCCGACGACUCUUCCCGCCAGGCUCGGCCGGUUUCCGAGGGAGCAGCCGGGGGGAGUCUCGCGCCGAUUUCGCCCGGGACGGCCGCGGAGACCAUCCAGGCGACAGCGGCAGCCGGAGACGCUCUCCUGGUCUGCGUUCUGACUCUUCUUUGGAACAGAGCUUAAGGAUCACUGUUGGCAAUGACCACUUCUGUGUUGGCAUACCAGAACGGCGGCGGCUUAGUGAUCGACUGGGGUCACCGGCGGAUAAUCUGGAGGAUGUGGACAGGGAUGACCUGACUGAUGAUUCUGUCUUCACUCGAAGCUCCCAGUGCUCUCGAGGUCUUGAACGAUAUAUUUCCCGGGAGGAGGCACCUCUCAGUCCCUUCUUGGGACAACUUGACGAGGACUACCGAGCAAGAGAAACUUUCCUGCAUCGGUCUGAUUAUAGUCCCCAUGUCAGUUGUCAUGAUGAGCUGUUGCGGGGAACAGAACGGAAUAGAGACAAACUCAAAGGCUCCUACUCUAUACGACCUGAGGAAAGGAGCCGGGAGGCCAAACGGCCCCGUUAUGAUGACACAGAGAAGAUACACAGCAUGGGAGGUGAUCACACAAGUUUUACAUCGGGGGCCCGCAACUAUCGACAGCGUAGACGGAGCCCGAGUCCUAGGUUUUUAGACCCUGAGUUUCGAGAGCUGGACCUUGCCAGGCGAAAACGAGAGGAAGAGGAGGAACGAAGUAGGAGCUUGAGUCAGGAACUGGUGGGAGUUGAUGGUGGUGGCACUAGCUGUCCCAUCCCUGGAUUGUCAGGUGUCCUAACAGCAUCGGAGCCAGGAUAUUCUUUACAUCGGCCAGAGGAAGUAUCUGUGAUGCCCAAGAAGUCAAUUCUGAAAAAGCGGAUUGAGGUGGACAUGGAGCCUUCCAUGCAGCUUGAGAGUUUUUCCAGCAGUACCAGCUCCAGCCAGGAUCACUCCCUUUACUCUGGACACUCAUCUCUUCCACUAAGUGGUGCUAUUGCUGCUUUUGCCUCAGAGGUUGAAAACAACAAGGGAACUGUGGUAGAGACUACCCUGAAGGAAUCUCAGGGCAACCUCUACCAAUGGGGCCCCCUCUCUGGGAUACCCAAAGACAGCAGUCCCCUCAGAGAGCAGUUUGGAAGUUUUCUGUGCCGCAAGGAAAAAUUGGAUAUGAAGGCUGAGGGACCAGAGCGACACACAGACUUCUUGCUUCCUCAUGAGAGAGCUAGCCAGGAUGGCAGUGGUUUCUCCUGCAUUCUGAGCAUGUUAGCAGAUUCUACCAGUACACAGGAAAAGAGGCGACGUAGCUUCCCUGACAUUGAGGAUGAGGAGAAAUUUCUCUAUGGGGAUGAAGAAGAGGAUUUAAAGGCAGAAUCUCCACCAAAGCCCCUUGGGGGCUCUGAAAGUGAAGUUAUGAGGCAGAAGGGAAGCUCCCUACCCUCUUCAGCUCCAGCUGUAAAGCUAGAAUCAAUAGAAGAGACCAGUCCAGAAUAUGCAAAGAUUCAUGACUUGCUCAAGACCAUAGGGCUGGAUAUUGGAGUAGCAGAGAUUAGUAAACUGGCUGCACGCACCCAGGAACGACUUCAUGGCAAGAAGCCAUCACGUUCCCCUGCUGACCGCCGUUCCUCUGUUGACCGGCACUUUUCAGCAGACCGCUGUUCCUCAGUUGACCGCCGUUUCUCAGCUGAUCGGCACUCUGCAGAUCCUCACAGACUGGAGAGUGGAGAGGCACACCAUAGCAAUACCCACUCCCCAGAGGUAUCCCAUCCACACCCAGUCUCCCCUGUGGAUCCUUACCUGCUCACAAAAAACAGCCCCCCGUUCCUAAAGUCUGACCAUCCAAUGGGUCAUAUUGCAGGACCUGAGGUGGUUGGCAGUGGGUUUCAGUCAUCUGUUGCAGUCAGGUGCAUGUUGCCAUCAGCCCCAUCUGCCCCAAUUAGACUUCCACACCCUGCUUCUUUAUCUCAGUUUCAUAUGCCAAGGGCCUCUCAGUUUGCUGCAGCUCGGAUACCUCCAAACUACCAGGGACCUGCCAUUCCCCCUGCUUCCUUUGAUGCCUAUAGGCACUACAUGGCAUAUGCAGCCUCUAGGUGGCCCAUGUACCCUGCCUCCCAACCUUCAAACCACCCUCUACCUGAACCACACAGGAUAAUGCCAGUUACCAAACAAGCUACCCGUAGCCGUCCCAAUCUCCGUGUGAUCCCCACUGUGACUCCUGAUGAGCCCAAGCAGGAGGAGUCAGUGCUGGGCUCAAUUCCUCCUGCCCAAGUGCCUGUCCAUGUGUCCAUCCCAUCACUCAUAAGAUAUAAUCCAGAGAAGAUCUCGGAUGAGAAGAACCGUGCUUCCCAGAAACAGAAGGUUAUUGAAGAGAGGGAAAAGCUGAAGAGUGACCGGGAAGCUCGCCAGAAGAAGAUGUACUAUCUCAGGACCGAGUUGGAGCGGCUUCAUAAACAACAAGGGGAAAUGCUGCGUAAGAAACGAAGGGAGAAGGAUGGUCACAAAGACCCACUCCUGGUAGAGGUGAGUCGGCUUCAGGAUAACAUUAUGAAGGACAUUGCAGAACUUCGACAAGAAGCAGAAGAGGCAGAAAAAAAGCAGUCUGAACUGGACAAAGUGGCUCAGAUCUUGGGAAUUAACAUUUUGGAUAAAUCUCAGAAGUCUUCAAAUGACAGUAGGGAUCCUACAGAGAAGACUGGGAAAGCAGAAAAAUCCAGGAGCCCAGAAAAAGUGUCAUCAUCCUCAAACUCCUUUUCCAACAGCAAGGAAUCAAAGGUAAACAAUGAGAAUUCCCACACUAAGAGCCCCAAGCCUGCCGAGAGCCCCCAGCCAGCUGCUAAGCAGUCUGAUCAGCCCAUUGCUACCUAUGAGUAUUAUGAUGCUGGCAAUCACUGGUGCAAAGACUGCAACACCAUCUGUGGGACCAUGUUUGACUUCUUCACUCAUAUGCACAAUAAGAAGCACACACAGACACUGGAUCCCUACAACAGACCUUGGGCUUCAAAGACCCAGAGUGAAGCCAAGCAAGAUGCUGUAAAGCGCAUUGACAAGAUAACUGUUCCUGCAAAAGGCUCUGAGUUUCUGAUUCCCAUCACUGGAUAUUACUGCCAGCUCUGUGAGGAAUUUUUGGGGGAUCCAAUUUCUGGAGAGCAACAUGUGAAGGGUUAUCAACACAAUGAGAAAUAUAAGAAAUAUGUGGUUGAAAACCCAUUGUAUGAGGAGCGGCGGAAUCUGGACCGCCAAGCUGGCUUGGCUGUGGUCCUAGAGACAGAACGGCGACGGCAGAGUGAGCUAAAGCGCAAACUCAGUGAGAAACCAAAGGAAGAGAAGAAAGAAAAAAAGGCAAAGAUCAUGAAGGAAGUAAAGGAGGAUGACAGGGUGUCUGAGGAAUUAGAGGACCAAGUGUCUGAAGGUGGGAACUCCCCUGAAAAGGCUGAAAAUAAAAGGAAGGCUAGCAUCAAACUCCAAUUAAAAGAAGAAGUAAAGAAAGAACCACCAACAUCUUCCUCUUUUGGGAAAUUCAGCUGGAAGAAGCCAGAAAAAGAGGAGGAAAAAAGUUCAGUGGCCCCAAGUAUUCCCAAAGAAGAGACUGUGGAAAAUAGUAAGGACAAAGAGGAUGGCAGAGCUGAAGCUGGGAAGGCAAAGCCCAUCAAAAUCAAACUCUCUGGGAAAACUGUUGUUGCACAUACAAGCCCUUGGAUGCCUGUAGUGACAACUUCAACCCAGACUAAGAUCCGACCCAACCUGCCUAUCCCAUCCACAGUCCUCCGCAAGUCAAGUUCAGCCACAGUAAGCAAGCCAGCUCCUCUUAACACCUUUCUAUCCAUCAAGUCCUCUGGAACCACUGCUAAGCCUCUGCCAGUGGUUAAAGAGUCUUCAGCUGAUCUCCUCUUGCCUCCCGACAUCAUCUCUAAAGCAUUUGGAGGGGAAGAGGUGAUUCUAAAAGGGUCUCCAGAGGAAAAAAUGGUGCUGGCUGAAAAGAAUGAGCCAUCACAUGUACCUGAACAAAUGCUACCACCUCCACCACCACCACCUCCACCGCCACCUCCACCACCCCCAGUUAUACCUCAUCCAGCUGCCCCAUCUCCUGCUCAAGCAAAUGCUAUUUUGGCUCCAGUAAAAUCAAACCCAACUAUAUCUCACACUGUCAGCCCUGGCUUCCUGGGUCCUAACAUUUUGAACCCAGUAUUACCGGUAGCCAUCAUGGCCUCAGCACAGCCAGCUGCCAUUCCUUCUGAUGAGACGGCUCCUGGGGUGAGUGAGAGUGACCGGGACCAGACCCUAUUCUCUGUGUUAGUGCGUCCUCCACCUCCCCUCUCAAGUGUGUUCAGUGAACAAGCCAAAAAAUUGGAAAAGCGAAAUUCAUGCUUAGCCACAGCCAAUGCUAAGGAUCUGUAUGACAUAUUCUACAGUAGUGGUGGAAAAGGGGCCCCUGAGACUAAGCUGAGUGGUGGUCCAUUGGCUAAUGGGGAAAAUAGAGCUGAAAGUUCAGACAUCUCUUCCACUUCUACUUUGAACAGCAGUGCAUCCCAAGAGGAGUUGCCUCCAGAUAGAAAUUUGGUCUCUGCUCCUUUAGUCAGCAGCCCUGAAAAGCCCAUUUCAAAACCUCUGGUGUCCCUAGGGAAAUGGUCGGUUGUAGAAAAUGUAGACUCAAAAAGCAGAGGCAGCAGCUAUGGCUUCUUACAGCCUCUGACAAGGUUGUGCCAAAACAGGCCUUAUGAAACUGUUACCCCAAAGACAGAGACUUUGGCCAUGUGGACUUCUAGUUCCUUCCAGAGUGAUGCUAAUAGGGAUGUAUCUCCAGAGGGGAAAAUUGAACUUGACCUGGGAGACCCUGGGCCACCAGGUGUCAAGCCAGCCCCUGAGCUGUCACAUGUACACUGUCAUACCAUGGAAUCUCAGAAGCUGUUAGAAACCCACCUUGUGGAAUCUAGUAACCAGGAUGAGGAAAGCCAAGAGCUCCACCAAUCUAAGGAUUGUGGAAAAAGUGAAGUAGAGACAAGCGCUGAACUAAAAGAAGGGGGAGUGAAGCUCUCUGAGAGGACAGUGGGAGAGGGAACAGAUACCAAUGUUGGGCCCAAUCGUGUAGAGGAUUCUAAUUUGAACCAUGGGAACAGAUACAUGUGGGAAGGAGAAGUAGAACAGCCCAACAUGCAAAUGACUGACAAAAAGGCUAAACAGUCCAAGAAAUUGAUAACAGGAAGUAAAACUCAAAGUAAAGUAGUGACUGAAUUGAACGCACAGGCGCUCUCUUCCACAAAGGCAAAAAUAGACUCAUUUCCGUCAGAAGCUAGGUCUUUACUCCAGAACCCACAAGAUAUACCUGUGAAAAUUUCUGCCCCAGAAUUGCUCCUUCAGUCCCCAGCCAGAUCAGAUAUGUGUUUGAAAGAUAGUGAACAGGAGCAAGGAGUUUCAACUGCUAGUGAGGAGUGGCUAGAAAAUUCAGCUCCAGGAUCAGCUUCUAGAGCCUCUAGGUACAGAAGCCUUAAACUGAAGAGAGAACGAUCAAAAGAGUUUCAGGGUAAAAUGAUCUAUGAACUGACUGUUUGGGAUGAGAACAAGAAGCCAGAGACCUGGGAGAGCCCAGAGAAACCCAAAGCAGAAGCCCUGGAUCUUCGAGAUGUCCAUCCAGAACUAACACUGACAAUAGAAAGCAAGACCUUAGAAAACUUUGAAGUUACAAACUUAAAAGUAGAAGAGCUUGCUGCCCUGGGGAACCUGGGGGAUAUAGGUGUUGAUUUCUGCAAUACUCGGGUAGACCCAGCACAUAGAUCCGCAACUGCCCUGUCUCAGAAAGUACGUGAAGAGAAUUCUAUGUCACCUAUAAGAAGUAAUCCCUCCACUCUCCCUGACUUUGAACCAAUACCAUCCUUUUCUGAGUUUCCAUUAGAUUCUCCCAAAACCCUGGUGCUUAACUUCGGAGCAGAGGGUGAACAAAACUCAUCUAAUCCCGAAACUGGGAGGAUCACUCCUAACAUUUUGAAAACUGGACUUUCUAUAGGAAAUGUUGGCCUUGGCUUGGGGAGCCUAGAGGGAACACACCAGGCCCUUGACCUGUUAGCAGGAGGAAUGAUGCCUGAGGAAAUAGAAGAAACUUCUCAGUUAGAGAAACAAGAUUCACUCAGAUUGGAAUCAGAAACAAUUAAUCCUUUAGGCCUUGGGCCAUCUCCUUGCCUUCCGGACCUUGUUGACUUUGUCACACGGACAUCUGGAGUUCAAAAAGAGAAGAUAUGUUCUCCUCUCUCUGAGCCAAGUGACCCUCCUGAGUGUAGUUCCCUGGAGAUGGGACCACUACAGUUAGAAAUACCGAAUGCAUCCGUCACGGAGGUAGCAAUUCCUCAAGUAGCUGAGUACAAUGACAGCCCUUUGAAUAUGGUAAAAUCUAUGGCUUCAGGGUCCCAUACAAGGGAGCAGGUAGUUGGAGGCAAUACAGUCCCUCAGGAAAUAGCUGCACAAGAAGCUGCAGUUGAUGACAUCCAGGACCACACAGAAUCCAGUGUUCACAACUGAGAAUACAAAUUCAGAGCUACUUGUGGAUGAAUCAAAUUGGCUUCUAGAAAUCAGGUGCCCAGAUGAUCCAGGACUAGUUGGCUCUCUCAUCUGGAACCUACAUCAAGAGAUGCAGUCAGCAUCUUAGAAUAAAUGUUCGUGGAAGCUAAAAAAUUUACCUCCUUUCCUUUUUUCCGUUUUCCUUAAGAUACCAGACAAAUCAAUCAUAAUUUCUAUACAUAUCUGUAAAAAAGUAUUUUCUGUUAAUUAUUAUUAUUAUUAUUUUUGCCAAUUUAUUUUCUUCUACUUUGUCAUUAAAAUCAAAUGUCUAUCUGGCUCACCAUAUAGUGUGCUUUGAUUGUAUUUUGGCUUUGACUCUGCCAUUUCUGGAAUGUGGGGGAGGAGGGAGACAGAGCUGACUUCUCCAAUUGCUGUGUUGUAUUCCCACCCAAUUUUUUGGGCAGCUGAUGGAUCUCUGGGAGAAACAAGAAAACCUGCUGAAAUGGAAAACUACUGCUGAAGGAAGGAUUGUUCAUCUCUUAGGCUUCCAUUUGGAUGGGCCUGCCUUAACAUUGUUUGAAAUGCAGCGAGCAAUUGCAGAAGUCUUCAUAUUUCUAGAAGGAAGGACUGCAGAAGACAUUUUUGCCCCAGGGAGACAGGGAUAGAAGCCACAGAAAUGAUGAGUACCCUUGGGGCCAAUGGGCAGUCACCUCUAGGGUCUGACUUCCAGAAGGUGGGUAUGGUUGCUGGGGCAGGAAUGGGUUAUGGAGAAGGCUCUGUUAUUUUAGCUGCCAGGAAAUGGUGAGUUGGGUGAGCGAAUAUGUUAUUUAUGUAUGUCUAUAUCUUUGUACCGGUAGAGGAGGAACAAGAUGAGGAUAGGCAUAGAGGUGUAUAUUUUAAACUUUCCACUCCUCAUCUCAAAUUAUCUCCUAACUUCCAUCUCUCAUUUUGUGCCACGAUACUCACGUUAAAGCUGUGGAAUUCAGAUCUUCUCAUCCCUCCUGGGCCCUGAGCCCAAUGCUCCCAGCUAGUAGAACAUCUCCUAUCUUGGCUUUAGCCUUCCUACCUGGUCCAUACAAGAAUCAGGGUAAAAAUUGGGUAUGUCCUUAGAGGAGUGGGGUAUAAAUAGACAAAGGAGUCUCAGGGAAGGGGGGACAAUCACAAAGGAUGUGUUUGAAAAAUUCUGGGAUUUCAGACUUCAAGACAGCUGUCUUGCAGUUUCCAUUCAGUCUUACUACCUCUUCUACACACAGUAGAACUUUUGGUACACAGAAACAGGCAAGCAUUUCAAAAUACCAAGGAAACACCUUACUCUCUGUUCAUCUAAAAAGCCAGUAGGUGUUUCUUUUACGCCCUUUUGUGCUUUGGAACUGGGCUCGGGAACACAGUGAGGAUGAGAACCUGACCUUUAAGUCCUUUAAACUCUGAGAUUUAUUUAAAUCUGAGCUGCCCCAACUCCAAAUUUACCCUUAAAACUGUUAACCUAGUUUUAUUUCUGAUUUGUAAAUGCUGGCACUUUUAGAGUCCUGGAGGUCUGCUUUACUGCCCAAAUAAAUCUGUGGUUUGGGUAACUUUUGGGACUACUCAUAACACUAUAAAUAUAAAGAACUGCAUAAUAUACAAUCAAAGCCAUCGAUAGAAUAAGAAGGAAGAAGUAAGGGGUAAAAAGUAUCUCAGGACCUCUUUUUGCUGAGCUUAUAUCAGUUAAUGACUACUUAUUCCUCAGGCAUGACACUGUGGAUGAAGCAAUGGAAAGCAGCCUGGUGCCAGGGCUGCCAACACUUUGUCACCACUACUUUCUCUCCCUUGCUCCAGUCCAAGAUCUGUUUCUCAUCAGCUACCACAUUCCUCUGCUCAGGGACAAUCAAGGGUGUUGGUCACAGCUUUUAUUCCUAAAUGUGACUCACCUACCUACCAGCCUGUGGUUUGCUGCUUACACCUCCCUUCUUCAGUAAUGUCUGGAGUCCACCUUUGAGAUGUGCUGAUCUAGGGCAUGGGCAGAGGGAAAGGAAAUAUUUUUUAGAAUAAUAUUUUUCCCCUUGGACUUUUAAAAUUUGAUAUGCUAGAGUUCACAUACAUUAUGAAUGAUUAAAUAUUUAAAAUCUACUUUUUUAUUGAAAUAUAAUUCAUAUAACAUUAAAUUUCACAUAAGAUUAAUCAUUUUAAAGUGUGUACAAGAAGAUCGUGUUGAAGAUUGUGCAACAAUCACUGUUAUCUAAUUCCAGAAUAUCUCCAUCACCCCACUUAAAAACCGCAAUUAGCAGACAUUCCCAAUUACCCCAAAGCCACCAGCAAUCAUCAGUCUGCUUUAUGUCUCUAUGAAUUUACCUAUUCUGGACAAUUCUGGGGUCAUAUAAUAUGUGGUCUUUCGUGUUUGGCUUCUUUCACUUAACAUUUUCAAGAUUCAUCCAUGUUGUACCAUGUAUCAGUACUUCAUUGUUUGUAGUUGAAUAAUAUUCCACUGUAUAGAUAUAAACACAUUUUGUUUAUCCAUUGGUUGGUAAACAUUUGGAUUAUUUCCACUUUUUUGCUAUUAUGCUGCUGUGAACAUUUGUGUACAAGUAUUUGUGUGGACAUACUUUUCAAUUCUCUUGGGUAUGUACUGGGUCAUGACAACUCUAACUUUUUUAAAAAUAUAAUUUUGUAUUAAAGUAUAAGGUACAUAUUACAAAACAAAAGCACACACAAGUGUUAAGCUCAAUACUUUUCACACAGUGAACAGUUUGUGUAACACUUCGGGUAACCAACACCCAAAUCAAAAAAUGGAAUGUGACCAACAGCCCUGAAGCCCCUCUCCUGUUCUCUUGCAGUCACUACUUUCCUGAAAUAUAACUGCUAUCUCAGGUGCUUUUUGUUUUUGUUUUAUGGAGCUGAAAUUCACAUAACAUAAAGUUAGCCACUUUAAAGUGAACAGUUCAGUGGCAUUUAGUACAUUCACAGUGUUGUGCCACCGAAACCUUUGUCUAGUUGUAAAACAUUUUCACCACCACAAAAUAAAACCCUGUGUCCCUUAUGCAGUUAGUUCCCAUUCCUACCUCCCCACAGACCCUGGCAAUCACCAGUCUUCCUUCUGUCUCUGUGGAUUUACAUAUUCUGGAUAUUUCAUAUAAAUGGAGUCAUACAAUCAGUGACCUUUUCUAUCUGCUUUCACUUAGAAGAAUGUUUCUGAGGUUCAUCCGUGCUAUAGCAAGUAUAGGUAUUCCAUUACUUUUUAUGGCUAAGUAAUAUUCCAUUGUCUGUGUAUACCACAAUUUAUUGAUCCAUUAAUUCAUUGAUAGACAUUUGGGUUGUUUCCACCUUUUGGAUAUUAUGCCUAGUAUGCUAUGAACAUUCAUGCAUAAGUAUUUGUUUGAGUACUUGUUUUCAGUUCUUUUCAGUAUAUACCUAGAAGUGGAAUUUCUGGGUCAUAUGGUUAUUCUAUGUUUAACAUUUUGAGGAACCACCAAACUGUUUUCCACAGCACCAGAAUCAUUUUACAUCCCUUCCAGUAAAAUGUAUGAUGGUUCCAGUUUCUCCAUAUUCAUAAUACUUAAUUUCCUUUUUCAUAUAUUAUAACCAUCCCAAUAUUUCAUUGUGGUUUUGAUUUACUAAUGUGGUUCUGAUGACUAAUGAUAUUGAGCAUCUCUUCAUGUGCUUUUUGGCCAUUUUGUAUCUUUUUUGGAAAAAUGUCUAGUG